rnacentral:rRNA from 1 species
UACGUAGGGCGCAAGCGUUGUCCGGAAUUAUUGGGCGUAAAGAGCUCGUAGGCGGCCUGUUACGUCUGCUGUGAAAUCCCGGGGCUUAACCCCGGGCGUGCAGUGGAUACGGGCAGGCUGGAGGCAGGCAGGGGAGAACGGAAUUCCCGGUGUAGCGGUGAAAUGCGCAGAUAUCGGGAGGAACACCGGUGGCGAAGGCGGUUCUCUGGGCCUGUACUGACGCUGAGGUGCGAAAGCGUGGGGAGCAAACAGG